GAUGAACGCUGGCGGCGUGCCUAAUACAUGCAAGUCGAGCGAACGGACGAGGAGCUUGCUCUUCUGGUGUUAGCGGCGGACGGGUGAGUAACACGUGGAUAACCUACCUAUAAGACUGGGAUAACUUCGGGAAACCGGAGCUAAUACCGGAUAAUAUAUUGAACCGCAUGGUUCAAAAGUGAAAGACGGUCUUGCUGUCACUUAUAGAUGGAUCCGCGCUGCAUUAGCUAGUUGGUAAGGUAACGGCUUACCAAGGCGACGAUGCAUAGCCGACCUGAGAGGGUGAUCGGCCACACUGGAACUGAGACACGGUCCAGACUCCUACGGGAGGCAGCAGUAGGGAAUCUUCCGCAAUGGGCGAAAGCCUGACGGAGCAACGCCGCGUGAGUGAUGAAGGUCUUCGGAUCGUAAAACUCUGUUAUUAGGGAAGAACAAAUGUGUAAGUAACUGUGCACAUCUUGACGGUACCUAAUCAGAAAGCCACGGCUAACUACGUG
rnacentral:rRNA from 1 species